CAGCCGCCGCGGUAAUACAGAGGGUGCAAGCGUUAAUCGGAAUUACUGGGCGUAAAGCGUGCGUAGGCGGUUUGUUAAGUCAGAUGUGAAAUCCCCGAGCUUAACUUGGGAACUGCAUUUGAAACUGGCAAGCUAGAGUCUUGUAGAGGGGGGUAGAAUUCCAGGUGUAGCGGUGAAAUGCGUAGAGAUCUGGAGGAAUACCGGUGGCGAAGGCAGCCCCCUGGGCCAACACUGACGCUCAUGCACGAAAGCGUGGGGAGCAAACAGGAUUAGAUACCCCUGUAGUCCCUGUCUCUUAUAC
rnacentral:rRNA from 1 species